rnacentral:tRNA from 1 species
UAUUUAUAUAGUUUAACUUUAAAACCUUACAUUUUCACUGUAAAAAUAAAAUAUCUUAUUUUUAUAAAU